UCGGAGAACAUUUUCACACAGUUCAUAACCGUUCAUAUCCUUCAAGCACAAGCUGAUCAGAUCUUCAUCUAAACACUCCGAUUACAUCACGUUGAUUAGAUUUUGAGUGUUCGUUAUGUAGAUCGAGUCGAAACUCUGUCCGGUUGUCGUUGUUACGUAAUAAAACGUUGUUUAAUUACGUCUUCGCGCACGAUUACGGUUCGAUUUAACGGUUUCCGCACGUUAAAUCGAAUUCAUCGCAGAUCUAGUGAUCGUUUACGAUCCGAUCCUGUACUCACAAGUGGUAUCAGAGCUACGGAUGCUCUGCGUGUAAUCGUUGUUUGAAUCGGACAAAGUUUCGGUAAAAUCGAAUGAUUUCCGGUUGAUUUUCAACGUGACUUUGAUCUGUUUGAAUCAUAUUUUGAACAUUUUAAUUGAUUUUAAUCUGUUUCAGUGAAUUUCGAAUCGAAAGUUAUAUCAUUACGGAUUGUUGUCAAGCAUACAACUAACUUCAGAUUCAAUCGCAUUAAGAAACAUCACGUUUUUUUGUUGCAGAUCUAAAAAUUGAUGAUGUUGUUUUAGUGUUCUUGUUGAAAUCUGAAUAACAUUCGUAGAUUGAACUCGAAAUUUUAGAUCUGAAUUUGUUUAUCCAUGUUGUUUCUGAUCUGAGAUCUACGUGUUAAAGAAGAUUGUAGUUACAAAUUGUUUGUUGUUAUCAUUUUCGAAAAGAAAAAGUAGAGUAUAACUUGCAGGUUUGUUGUUGAAUUGAUACAUCAAGUGUAGUUUGAGGUUAUGAAGUAAUUUGUUGAAUCAUAAACUGUUCAAUCAUUUCUGUUAAAUCUGUUGACAAGUUUGUGGUUGUGAUUAUUUUCAAACUGAUUUCACACUAUUUCGAUCAAGUUUCGGUAUAUCGUAUGUGUAUAUCGGACUGAUUAGAUGAUGUUUGGUUAAAGUUUCUACAGUUUCGGAUUGAGUCGAUUAAGUUUCGAACUGAAUUGGAUCAAUUUAAGACUGUUUUGAUUGAAUUUCGGAUCAUUUCGAUGAGUUUCAGUGAAAUUGAAUGUUUUUGUUUUGAUGAACAAGAUCUACUGUUCAUAACGUCAAAUUGUCAAAAAGUUGUAAGACGGAUCUGAGUUAAUUGCUACUGAAAGAAAUAAUAUCCAGUUGUGUGUCUUGUUU
rnacentral:lncRNA from 1 species